UAGGGAGUUGAACUCUAACAGUGUAGAUAGUAAUAUAAAGAAAGGGCUACAAGCAACUACCACGAACAAAAUAUUACUAAUAAAAUUGAGAAGUAUCUGCAAUUAUUAUUUGGGAUAUUGAUAAUGGGAAAUCAUGAAAGCACUGACAAAUAUCUUGAAAGAAGAAUUAAGAAUUUUUAUUUUAGGUGUGUUGAGUUUGAGAUGAUAGUAAGUGUGCUGGACUUAAGAUGAGAGCAUAGCAAGAGUCAGAACUAAAGAAAGAGAUUUGGAAACUAGCCACAAAGAAAUUUUUAAAACUGCAUACAAUUCAAAAAGCUCUGAAAACUAAGGGUUUUUUUUAAUUUUUAAGGAUUCAUUUGGCUGUAAAACCUGACCCAAUCAAUAUGAACUCAUUUAUUACCUCAAGCAUUUUGCUGCUUCAGAAACAAUUUGUUUUAUUAUGGGACAUUGCCUCCUCACUAAACUCUGAGUAUUGAAUAAUAUAUAGUGCAUACACCAUGUUAGCUUUCUAAAUUCUGAAUUCCAAAAUUCAUCUGCCCUCAAGUACUUCUUGGUAGGAAUUAUAGACCUGUAGUUUAAGUCAUAACAGCAGAUGUAAUAGAAAGAGAAAAUAAAAUAAAGAGGAAAAAACUCCCAAUCUGAUCCCUCAUGUGCAGCUACAGUUCUAUAUUUAGGAAAAUAGAAAAAAAGUAGAAAAGACGAGACAUAGCCAGGUGAUGAGUAGCAGCAAAAAUGACUCCCGGGAAACGUAAUUCCCUUCUUCCCAUUCUUUAUUUUUUCUCUGACAUCUAAGAGUGUUUUCCCCCCAAGUAGUAUAAGGUUUAGAGUUUAAAACAAGGUGAAUAUAAAAAAUGCAUUAAUUUGGAGAAGGUAGAUUUAACUAUCUCUUUCUGUGAGAUUAUUAUAAUACUAGAGGCCUGAGGCAUGAAAAUCAUGCAAGGGGCUCAACCUCCACCACCAUGGCUUCGUCCAGAAGGACAUCUAUUCUAAUUAGCAUAUUAUACUUUCAUUAUAUAGAUAAGAUGGGAAAUUAAUGUGAUUUUUCUCCUACUAUCGUGUGUGGGGGUAAUAUACAUAAUAAUGAAAUUGAGUCAGAAAAUCCUGAUCCUAGCCAUGAUUGCAGUUAGUUUUUUGUGAUCACAAGUAAGACAGUAAUUUCACCUAUUUUACUUCAGCUUUCACAUUUGUAAAAUAGAGGGAGUACACCAGAUGAUCUUGAAGUCGACUUCCAAACUUAUAACCUAAAAAAAUAAUCAUUCUUUAUGAGGUAUCAUAAUAGUGAGAUUAAACUACUGCUACAUCGGUAGUAAAAUGUGAAGAAAAAAAUUUAAGUGAUUAAAACUAGUUUUUUAAAGUAGUAUACUUAAUAUGAAUUAGAUAUCCCAUUAUAUAUUUGCAUUGAUUUUUUUUUUUAAUCUGUCUUUCAGUUUAUCGGAUGUUUUUCUAUUGUUUUAAGUGUAAUUUUAUAUUUAAAUUCUUCCUUAUGGUGUACAUAUUGUGCUUUGACCAGUAUUCCUUUUUAUAAGUUCUUAAAAUAUUUUACAACAUUCUUUACAACAUAAAAUUUCCAUCCUAUAUAAGGUAAUGUAAGUGUUCGUCCAAAAGAAGUUCACAGAAAAGGAAACAAACAAGAAAGAAA